UGGGGAAUAUUGCACAAUGGGCGCAAGCCUGAUGCAGCCAUGCCGCGUGUAUGAAGAAGGCCUUCGGGUUGUAAAGUACUUUCAGCGGGGAGGAAGGCGAUGCGGUUAAUAACCGCGUCGAUUGACGUUACCCGCAGAAGAAGCACCGGCUAACUCCGUGCCAGCAGCCGCGGUAAUACGGAGGGUGCAAGCGUUAAUCGGAAUUACUGGGCGUAAAGCGCACGCAGGCGGUCUGUCAAGUCGGAUGUGAAAUCCCCGGGCUCAACCUGGGAACUGCAUCCGAAACUGGCAGGCUUGAGUCUCGUAGAGGGGGGUAGAAUUCCAGGUGUAGCGGUGAAAUGCGUAGAGAUCUGGAGGAAUACCGGUGGCGAAGGCGGCCUCCUGGACAAAGACUGACGCUCAGGUGCGAAAGCGUGGGGAGCAAACA
rnacentral:rRNA from 1 species